rnacentral:tRNA from 1 species
GGACGGGUGCCCGAGUGGCUAAAGGGGGCGGUCUGUAAAACCGUUGGCUAACGCCUACGUUGGUUCAAAUCCAACCCCGUCCACCA